rnacentral:rRNA from 1 species
UGCAAGUCGAGCGGGGGACGGUAGCUUGCUACCGGACCUAACGGCGGACGGAUGAGUAAUGCUUAGGAGUCUGCCUAUUAGUGGGGGACAACUUCUCGAAGGGGAUGCUAAUACCGCACACGUCCUACCGGAGAAACCAGGAGAUCUUCCUACCUUGCGCUAGUAAAUGAACCUAACUCGGAUUAACUAGUUGGUGGGGUAAAGGCCUACCCAGGCGACCAUCUGUACCGGGUCUGACAGGAUGAUCCGCCACACUGGGACUGAGACACAGCCCAUACUCCUACCGGAGGCAGCAAUGGGGAAUAUUGGACAAUGGGGGGAACCCUGAUCCAUCCAUGCCGCGUGUGUGAAGAAGGCCUUAUGGUUGUAAAGCACUUUAAUCGAGGAGGAAGCUACUUUAUUUAAUACCUAGGGAUAGUGGACGUUACUCGCAGAAUAAGCACCGGCUAACUCUGUGCCAGCAGCCGCGGUAAUACAGAGGGUGCGAGCGUUAAUCGGAUUUACUGGGCGUAAAGCGUGCGUAGGCGGCUUAUUAAGUCGGAUGUGAAAUCCCCGAGCUUAACUUGGGAAUUGCAUUCGAUACUGGUGAGCUAGAGUAUGGGAGAGGAUGGUAGAAUUCCAGGUGUAGCGGUGAAAUGCGUAGAGAUCUGGAGGAAUACCGAUGGCGAAGGCGGCCAUCUGGCCUAAUACUGACGCUCAGGUACGAAAGCAUGGGGAGCAAACAGGAUUAGAUACCCUGGUAGUCCAUGCCGUAAACGAUGUCUAUUAGCCGUUGGGGCCUUUGAGGCUUUAGUGGCGCAGCUAACGCGAUAAGUAGCACCGCCUGGGGGAGUACGGUCGCAAGAUUAAAACUCAAAUGAAUAUGACGGGGGCCCGGCACAAAGCGGUGGAGCCAUGUGGUUUAAUUCGAUGCAACGCGAAGAACCUUACCUGGCCUUGACAUACUAGAAACUUUCCAGAGAUGGAUUGGUGCCUUCGGGAAUUUAGAUACAGGUGCUGCAUGGCUGUCGUCAGCUCGUGUCGUGAGAUGUUGGGUUAAGUCCCGCAACGAGCGCAACCCUUUUCCUUAGUUGCCAGCAUUUCGGAUGGGAACUUUAAGGAUACUGCCAGUGACAAACUGGAGGAAGGCGGGGACGACGUCAAGUCAUCAUGGCCCUUACGGCCAGGGCUACACACGUGCUACAAUGGUCGGUACAAAGGGAUGCUACAUAGCGAUGUCAUGCUAAUCUCAAAAAGCCGAUCGUAGUCCGGAUUGGAGUCUGCAACUCGACUCCAUGAAGUCGGAAUCGCUAGUAAUCGCGGAUCAGAAUGCCGCGGUGAAUACGUUCCCGGGCCUUGUACACACCGCCCGUCACACCCUGGGAGUUUGUUGCACCAGAAGUAGGUAGCCUAACGCAAAGAGG